GGCGGACGGGUGAGUAACGCGUGAGGAACCUGCCUUUCAGAGGGGGACAACAGUUGGAAACGACUGCUAAUACCGCAUAACAUAUAGAUGUCGCAUGGCAUUUAUAUCAAAGAUUUAUCGCUGAAAGGUGGCCUCGCGUCUGAUUAGCUAGUUGGUGAGGUAACGGCCCACCAAGGCGACGAUCAGUAGCCGGACUGAGAGGUUGAACGGCCACAUUGGGACUGAGAUACGGCCCAGACUCCUACGGGAGGCAGCAGUGGGGAAUAUUGGGCAAUGGGCGCAAGCCUGACCCAGCAACGCCGCGUGAAGGAAGAAGGCUUUCGGGUUGUAAACUUCUUUUGUCAGGGACGAGUAGAAGACGGUACCUGACGAAUAAGCCACGGCUAACUACGUGCCAGCAGCCGCGGUAAUACGUAGGUGGCAAGCGUUGUCCGGAUUUACUGGGUGUAAAGGGCGUGUAGCCGGGAGGGCAAGUCAGAUGUGAAAUCCACGGGCUCAACUCGUGAACUGCAUUUGAAACUACUCUUCUUGAGUAUCGGAGAGG
rnacentral:rRNA from 1 species